GAUGAACGCUGGCGGCGUGCCUAAUACAUGCAAGUCGAACGAACAGACGCUGAGCUUGUUCCUUUCCCGUUUGCGGCGGACGUGUGUGUAACACGUGCAUCACCUCCUUCUAUUUCUGGGAUCAUUACGUAAAUCCGGCUCUAAUACCGGAUCAUAUAUUGCACCGCUUUGUUCAAUAGUUAUUCUCGGCUUUUCUGUCUCUUAUAGACUGUUCCCAGCUGCCUUAGCUAGUUGGUACGGUCACGGCCUACCAAGGCGACGAUGCGUAGCCGACCUGAGAGGGUGAUCGGCCACACUGGAACUGAGACACGGUCCAGAGGCCUAAGGGAGGCAGCAGUGGGGAAUAUUAGGCAAUGGGCGAAAGCCUGACAGAGCAAGGCGGCGUGAGUGAUGAAGGUCUUCGGAUCGUAAAGCUCUGUUAUUAGGGAAGAACAGAUGUGGAAGUAGAUAUGGACGUAUUGACGGUACCUAAUCAAAAAGCAACGGCUAACUACGUG
rnacentral:rRNA from 1 species